UUCGUGCCGGUUUAGCGGUUCUGCGACCCAAAGAGUCCAGGGAGAUCCACCGAGUGGUGCCUGGCGUAUAGGACUAUGCAGCCGCCUUGUGGCUCGGAGCAGCGGCCCGCGAUGUCCCAGCCACUGUGAACCAUUUGGUCAGCGCCAACCUGCUCAGCCCCAGCACCGACAGGCUCAGCCUCUGGUACGCUCCACUCCGCGGGAGGCCACCAGCACCAAGCAGCAAGAGGGCGCAGGGAAGGCCUCCCCCCUCCGGCGGGGGACGCCUGGCUCAGCGUAGGGACACGCACUCCGACUGACUGGCACUG
rfam:Mus musculus chromosome 13, GRC primary reference assembly.